rnacentral:rRNA from 1 species
GAUGAACGCUAGCGAUAGGCUUAACACAUGCAAGUCGAGGGGCAGCAUGGUCUUAGCUUGCUAAGACUGAUGGCGACCGGCGCACGGGUGCGUAACGCGUAUGCAACUUGCCUCACAGAGGGGGAUAACCCGUCGAAAGACGGACUAAUACCGCGUACACUCCAUCUUGGGCAUCCAAGGUAGAGGAAAUGAAAUUCGCUGUGAGAUAGGCAUGCGUCCCAUUAGCUAGUUGGUGAGGUAACGGCUCACCAAGGCGACGAUGGGUAGGGGAACUGAGAGGUUGAACCCCCACACUGGUACUGAGACACGGACCAGACUCCUACGGGAGGCAGCAGUGAGGAAUAUUGGUCAAUGGGCGAGAGCCUGAACCAGCCAAGUCGCGUGAAGGAUGACUGUCUUAUGGAUUGUAAACUUCUUUUAUAUGGGAAUAACAAGAGUCACGUGUGACUCCCUGCAUGUACCGUAUGAAUAAGCAUCGGCUAACUCCGUG